rnacentral:rRNA from 1 species
UACGUAGGGGGCGAGCGUUGUCCGGAUUUAUUGGGCGUAAAGAGCGUGUAGGCGGCCAGGUAGGUCUGCUGUGAAAACUCGAGGCUUAACCUCGAGCUGUCGGCGGAAACCAUCUGGCUAGAGUCCGGAAGAGGAGAAUGGAAUUCCCGAUGUAGCGGUGAAAUGCGCAGAUAUCGGGAAGAACACCCGUGGCGAAGGCGGUUCUCUGGGACGGUACUGACGCUGAGACGCGAAAGCGUGGGGAGCGAACAGG